rnacentral:rRNA from 1 species
GAUGAACGCUGGCGGCGUGCCUAAUACAUGCAAGUCGAGCGAACAGACGAGGAGCUUGCUCCUCUGACGUUAGCGGCGGACGGGUGAGUAACACGUGGAUAACCUACCUAUAAGACUGGGAUAACUUCGGGAAACCGGAGCUAAUACCGGAUAAUAUAUUGAACCGCAUGGUUCAAUAGUGAAAGACGGUUUUGCUGUCACUUAUAGAUGGAUCCGCGCCGCAUUAGCUAGUUGGUAAGGUAACGGCUUACCAAGGCGACGAUGCGUAGCCGACCUGAGAGGGUGAUCGGCCACACUGGAACUGAGACACGGUCCAGACUCCUACGGGAGGCAGCAGUAGGGAAUCUUCCGCAAUGGGCGAAAGCCUGACGGAGCAACGCCGCGUGAGUGAAGAAGGUCUUCGGAUCGUAAAACUCUGUUAUUAGGGAAGAGCAAAUGUGUAAGUAACUAUGCACGUCUUGACGGUACCUAAUCAGAAAGCCACGGCUAACUACGUG